rnacentral:misc_RNA from 1 species
UCUCCGUUGGUGAACCAGCGGAGGGAUCAUUACCGAGUGCAAACUCAUAACCCUUUGUGAACCUAUAUCUGUUGCUUCGGCGUCUCGCUCUCGGGCGAGCCCGCCGGUAAUAUCAGUAUCUCUGUUUGAACCCGACGAUACUUCUGAGUGUUCUUAGCGAACAGUUAAAACUUUUAACAACGGAUCUCUUGGCUCUA